GUACUCACUUUGGCAGCACGUAAACUAAAAUCGGAAUGAUGCAGAGAAGAUUAGUAUGACCCCUGUGCAAGGUGACACACAAAUUUGUGGAGUAUUCCAUAUUUUG